AAGACCUUGUGCUUUUGGAGCGGCCGAUGCCUGAUUAGCUUGUUGGUAAGGUAAAAGCUUACCAAGGCUUCGAUCAGUAGCUGGUCUGAGAGGACGACCAGCCACACUGGGACUGAGACACGGCCCAGACUCCUACGGGAGGCAGCAGUGGGGAAUUUUGGACAAUGGGGGCAACCCUGAUCCAGCCAUGCCGCGUGAGUGAAGAAGGCCUUCGGGUUGUAAAGCUCUUUCAGCCGGAACGAAACGGUUACGGAUAAUACCCGUGACUACUGACGGUACCGGAAGAAGAAGCACCGGCUAACUACGUGCCAGCAGCCGCGGUAAUACGUAGGGUGCAAGCGUUAAUCGGAAUUACUGGGCGUAAAGCGUGCGCAGGUGGUUUUGUAAGUCAGAUGUGAAAGCCCCGGGCUCAACCUGGGAACU
rnacentral:rRNA from 1 species